rnacentral:lncRNA from 1 species
CACUAGCCUCAACAACUGUGCAGUUAAAACUUUUAUGCAAUGCUAUUCCUGCUAUGUCAUUCACUUCGAGCUUUCGUUUCACGUGUGCCGUCAUUUCUCGAUUGCAUUGAUACAACCUGGACUUAAUAGGACUUGUCUUAUGAUUGUGGUCAAAGUGGACCAUGUUAAUUUUCCAAUAACCAUGGAUAUCUAAAGAUGUAGAGAUCAUAGCUUUGCAAUUCGUUUAAAUUGUUAGUGAGACUUCAAAGAAGUGCUUGUAUUACCAGUUCGUCGUACCUCCUGACUACACGUCAACGUGACAUAUCUCAAAACACCAUCAUCAUCCCUCGUAGAACUCCUCUUCCUAACUGGAAGCAUAGGCAUAUCUUGCAUAAAAAUCAUAUACUUCUUUUUUAUCAUUGAACUGUGUACCAACCUCUGGCACAAUCAAACCAUCUCUUCCUACCAUUUUGUCUUCCACGACAUUCACAUUGCCCUCUACAUUCUCAAUCUCAGAAUCAAUGAACAAAACAUCUUCCAUAUUUGGUAUUCCUACAAAACGUAAACACUCACCCAUUCUUUAAAUGUCC